rnacentral:lncRNA from 13 species
CAAAAGGGGGAGGGAGUAGGGAAGGGUAUGUAUACUAGUGUCCUUCAAAAGGGGGAGGGGGAGUGAGUAGGGAAGGGUA